AUUCCAGCUCCAAUAGCGUAUAUUUAAGUUGUUGCAGUUAAAAAGCUCGUAGUUGGAUUUUGGGUCGGGGGUACCGGUCCGGUGUUUCACUGUGCACUGGUCUCCUCUUCCUUUCUGCCGGGGACGGCGUUUGCUCUUUACUGAGCGGCGUCGGAGUCGGCGCUGUUACUUUGAAAAAAUUAGAGUGUUCAAAGCAAGCCAUCGCUCUGAAUACAUUAGCAUGGAAUAACAUGAUAGGACUCUGGUCUUAUUUUGUUGGUUUCCGAGACUGGAGUAAUGAUUAGGAGGGACAGUCGGGGGCAUCCGUAUUUCAUUGUCAGAGGUGAAAUUCUUGGAUUUAUGAAAGACGAACUUCUGCGAAAGCAUUUGCCAAGGAUGUUUUCAUCG
rnacentral:rRNA from 1 species